AGAAACUUAGGAUCGAACCAAACCAAAGGCCUUCAAAGCCUUAAACAAGAGUUAAACCCUCUUAGUUUCUG
rnacentral:tRNA from 1 species